GGUUAGUAGUAAUAUGGAUCCCAGAAUAGCUGGGACAGGCACGCCUUUAAGAUUUAUUAGAUGGAACAUCAGAGAUAUGGGAGACGCACCUACGUAUUAAAGAUCAUCAAAGGUUACACUGCCUUUGGAGCUUGGUGCAUUCAUAAUACUUCAAAGAGAUGGAGGGAAAUAUUUCAAAGGCUUUGAACUUUGACAGCUAACAGAAGAAAAAUGAAAAAAAAAGGUGUGUGAAAUUUAUGAUUAUUUAUGACUCUGCCUGACUAUUAUGGAACAAUAUUAUAAAUAUUGUUUAUGUUUAUAGGGGAGAUUGUUUUUGCAAAUGAAGAGCUUUGUCAAGAAAUGGGGUCUAUUUCUCAUGCAGGUCUUUGUAUAAGCAUAUUUAUAUAUGCAUAUAUUACUGGAUUAUUGUAAUAAAUGUUCACUUUAAAUGUAAUGAUUAAACUCUUUUCACAGUGUACUGUUGCACUGAAGUCAGAUAUAUACUCACCGGCCCGUUUAUUGGGAACAUAUGUACACCUAUUCAUUCUUGCAUUUAUCCAAUCAGCCAUGUGGCAGCAGUGCAGUGUAUAACAUCAUGUAGAUACAGGUCAAGCAUUUUGGUUAAUGUACACAUUAAACAACAAAAUGGGGAAAAUAUGUGAUAUCAACAAAAACAUCCAAGGAGCAGCAGCUUUGUGGGCGGAAACGCCUUUGAACCGAGGAAGCAGGAAGCAGUGUCCUUCGAGCUCAUGUUAUUCUUCUAUUUUCUAUACUUUAAAAUUAUAUAUAUAUAUAUAUAUAU
ensembl:lncRNA